rnacentral:rRNA from 1 species
AACGAACGCUGGCGGCAUGCCUAACACAUGCAAGUCGAACGGGAUCCUGGUUUCGGCCAGGUGAGAGUGGCGGACGGGUGAGUAACGCGUGGGAACCUGCCCAGUGGUGGGGGAUAACUGCGGGAAACUGCAGCUAAUACCGCAUGAGCCCGAAAGGGGAAAGAUUGAUCGCCAUUGGAGGGGCCCGCGUUCGAUUAGGUAGUUGGUGAGGUAACGGCUCACCAAGCCUUCGAUCGAUAGCUGGUCUGAGAGGAUGAUCAGCCACACUGGGACUGAGAUACGGCCCAGACUCCUACGGGAGGCAGCAGGUGGGGAAUAUUGGACAAUGGGGGCAACCCUGAUCCAGCAAUGCCGCGUGAGUGAUGAAGGCCUU